rnacentral:rRNA from 1 species
AUGGCUGUGAGAAUCCUCUCAUUGACCUCAAGUUCUUCGGUCUGUGAAAGGAAUUGGAGUACCUUCGAAAAUAUUCAUACAAAGAAAAGAAACAGGCUAACUACAGAACGUCGAAACUCUCUUGUGUUCAUACAAUUCAACUCAAGAAUGAUGGCCAAGAAACAAAUGAUCAAGGAGAAGAAGAUCAUUGAUGUCCUCUUAUCCACUGAAACUACCGAAGCUCAAGGUUUUCUUUUUGAGGGCGGAGAUGAUUAUGCACAAAUCGUCUAUAGGGAUGAUGAUGAGGAGGAGAUGGAUAGUACAGGGAUGCCAGGGAGUGGCAUUGGAGAAGCGAUGGGAGUCAAUGAAUUUCUCGAGCCACGUAGAAGUGCGAGACUAAGACAACUUUAUGAAGAAGAAGAAUUCGAUUCUGAAGAAGAGGAGUUUGAUGAUGAUGAGGAGAUGCAUUCAGAUGAGGAGAAUGAAUAUUGA